CUCGUAGGCGGUCCAUCGCGUCGGGAGUGAAAAGCUGGGGCUUAACCCCCAGUCCUGCUUCCGAUACGGGUGGACUAGAGGUAGGUAGGGGAGAUCGGAAUUCCUGGUGUAGCGGUGAAAUGCGCAGAUAUCAGGAGGAACACCGGUGGCGAAGGCGGAUCUCUGGGCCUUACCUGACGCUGAGGAGCGAAAGCAUGGGGAGCAAACA
rnacentral:rRNA from 1 species